CCUCCCUCACCCGGCGGAGGAGGUUAUCAGUGCUCCAACGCGGUCCCAAGCUACAAACAAGACCUUGAGUGGGAGAUGGCAGGAGCUGACCUGCAGACCCGAGGGAAGUGGAGGGGCGUGUCUGAGAGCCUGGCCCCGCCUCCAGCACCGCGACGAUUGGGUUUCCGUGAGAUAAAACAGCCAAUCCGAGAAAGAAAUGACAGACUACCCUCCCUGAGCCAAUGAGCGUAUUGCGUGAGAAGAUCUCAAACUCACGGUCUGAAAAUCCAAAACAACCCAUGCAGACACAAGAGUCCACGCAAAGCAAGAACUUUGUUUGAGUCAGGCGCAGAAACUGACCAGACAGGGACAACAGCACCGACUUGGGAGCAGACUGCGUCUUCCAAUGUUCAUCUUAGUAGUUAAACAGCUGGUAAAACUUUAUUGUGCUCAGACCGCUGCUGAUCGAUCAGGACCGAAGAACAGACCUGGAAGUUGGACUUCCCCUCAGAGCCGGAAUGGUACAGAGGUUUUAAGCUCGAAAGCCACAAAUAUCUGCCCCUAUAUGCAGUCACAACUCAGAAUCAUUUAUUCGUUCAUAAUUAGAAACAAUCAUUAUGUUUUGGGGAACAAAAAAAAAAAAAGCCGGGCGGUGGUGGCGCACGCCUUUAAUCCCAGCACUUGGGAGACAGAGGCAGGCAGAUUUCUGAGUUCGAGGCCAGCCUGGUCUACAAAGUGAGUUCCAGGACAGCCUGGAACUCAGAGAAACCCUGUCUCAAAAAAAAAAACCCAAUAAUAAUAAGAAGAAGAAGAAGAGGAAGAAGAAGAGGAAGAAGAAGGAGGAGGAAGUUGGCUAGCCAUCUGGGAAGUCCUUGGCUCCCCUAGAACCUGGGAAUUUAAUCUUCAUUUCUCCUUAGGAUCUAAGUGGAAUGAAACAAAACGGCAUUUCCACAUAGCUCAAGUCGGUUUUCAACUUUCUAUGUAGCCGAGGAUGUCCCUCAACCUCUCAUCCUCCUGCCUCUACAUCCCAAGGGUUGAGAUUCCAGGUGUGUACCACCAUGCCUGAUUUAUGUGGUUCUGGGCAUUGAACUCAGGAUCGAGUGUAUGCUAGACAAAAACACUCUCUCAACUGAGCUAUAUCCCCAGUCCUUGGAAGUAUUUUAUUUUAAUUAAGUUAAAAGCAUUUUUUUAGGAAGGAUUUUAUAAUCUUCACUGUUCAUCAGAGGUUAGAUAUAGCCACGAAUGGAUAAUGAGAAUGCCAAAUUGGUUAAUGCAUGAGAAAAAAAUUUAACUUUUACUUGCAUUCAUAAUAAUCAUUUAUUUAUUUAUUUAAAGAUUUAUUCAUUUCUUUUAUGUGAGUACACUGUAGCUGUCUUCAGACACAUCAGAAGAGGGCAUUGGAUUUCAUUACAGAUGGUUGUGAGCCACCAUGUGGUUGCUGGGAACUGAACUCAGGACCUCAGGAAGAGCAGUCAGUGCUCUUAACCACUGGUCUAUCUCUUCAGCCCUGUAUUCAUAAUUUUUAAUUGAUUAAUUAGUAAUUAAUAUGUGAAUUAUGUUUUUGAGAUAGGAUUUCACUAUGUAGCUCUGGCUGUCCUAGGACUCACUAUAUAGACCAGGCUGGCCUCAAACUCACAUAGAUCCUCAUGCCUCCGUCUCCCAAAUGCUGGGACUAAAGGCGUGAGCCAUUCUGCCCAGCUGUAUUCAUAAUUUACAUAGCUAUCCUGGGUGGUGGCUCCCUUCCUGGAUGGGACAGUUUCAACCAGAAACCAAGCCUGGGGCUACAGCUCUGUUGGCUGUGUAUGUAUCCCAUGGAGACACAGCUCUGGGUGCUGUGGUGCACUUGACAGACCUGGGAUGCAGAGUCAGGAGCUCAGGGCCAUUCCCUGUCCCUGGCCUUCUGCUCAAACUCAGGAUGCUGCAGAUGAGGUCAUUCUACACAGGAAACCAAGGAGUGAGGCAGGGUUGGUUGGAGGAGGACAUGCUAAAUUUGAGGUUUCUGUGAUGUUUGCAUCAAAUCAUCUAAUAAAGUGACCGAGAGGCCGUUUUGUUUUGCUCUA